GACGAACGCUGGCGGCGUGCUUAACACAUGCAAGUCGAACGGAAAGGCCCUGCUUGCAGGGUACUCGAGUGGCGAACGGGUGAGUAACACGUGGGUGAUCUGCCCUGCACUUCGGGAUAAGCCUGGGAAACUGGGUCUAAUACCGGACAGGAGCCAUUUUUAGUGUGAUGGUUGGAAAGUUUUUUCGGUGUAGGAUGAGCUUGCGGCCUAUCCGCUUGUUGGUGGGGUAAUGGCCUACCAAGGCGGCGCCGGGAAGCCGGCCUGGGAGGGUGGCCGGCCACAGUGGGACUGAGAUACGGCCCAGACUCCUACGGGAGGCAGCGGUGGGGAAUAUUGCACAAUGGGCGCAAGCCUGAUGCAGCGACGCCGCGUGGGGGAUGACGGCCUUCGGGUUGUAAACGCCUUUCGCUAGGGACGAAGCUUUUUGUGACGGUACCUAGAUAAGAAGCACCGGCUAACUACGUG
rnacentral:rRNA from 1 species